rnacentral:rRNA from 1 species
CGUAGGUAACCUGCCUCUUAGCGGGGGAUAACUAUUGGAAACGAUAGCUAAUACCGCCUAAAAGUCGACAUUGCAUGAUGUUGACUUGAAAGGUGCAAUUGCAUCACUAAGAGAUGGACCUGCGUUGUAUUAGCUAGUUGGUGAGGUAACGGCUCACCAAGGCGACGAUACAUAGCCGACCUGAGAGGGUGAUCGGCCACACUGGGACUGAGACACGGCCCAG